rnacentral:rRNA from 1 species
CACUUUGCUUAGAUUCUUCGGAUGAAGAGGAUUGUGACUGAGCGGCGGACGGGUGAGUAACGCGUGGGUAACCUGCCUUGUACAGGGGGAUAACAGUUAGAAAUGACUGCUAAUACCGCAUAAGACCACAGCACCGCAUGGUGCGGGGGUAAAAACUCCGGUGGUAUGAGAUGGACCCGCGUCUGAUUAGCUUGUUGGCGGGGUAACGGCCCACCAAGCCUUCGAUGGAUAGGGGUUCUGAGAGGAAGGUCCCCACAUUGGAACUGAGACACGGUCCAAACUCC